rfam:Trichosporon oleaginosus strain IBC0246 unplaced genomic scaffold CC85scaffold_59, whole genome shotgun sequence.
GGGCGUGUAGCUCAGUUGGUAGAGCGUGUCAUUAGCAUUCCUUGGCGUUCGCCCAAUAGAAACUCUUGACAAGGUCUUUGGUUCGAUUCCUAACUCGUCCA